AGCAAAAUGAUGAGCCAUCAUGACCUGAAACUAAUGUGGAUACUCCAUGGUCUUCAAAGUUCUCUGAUUGCU
rfam:Ananas comosus cultivar MD2 ACMD2_Scaffold_8098, whole genome shotgun sequence.